ACGCUGGCGGCAGGCCUAACACAUGCAAGUCGAGCGGAUGAGAGGAGCUUGCUCCUUAAUUCAGCGGCGGACGGGUGAGUAAUGCCUAGGAAUCUGCCUGGUAGUGGGGGACAACGUUUCGAAAGGAACGCUAAUACCGCAUACGUCCUACGGGAGAAAGCAGGGGACCUUCGGGCCUUGCGCUAUCAGAUGAGCCUAGGUCGGAUUAGCUAGUUGGUGAGGUAAUGGCUCACCAAGGCGACGAUCCGUAACUGGUCUGAGAGGAUGAUCAGUCACACUGGAACUGAGACACGGUCCAGACUCCUACGGGAGGCAGCAGUGGGGAAUAUUGGACAAUGGGCGAAAGCCUGAUCCAGCCAUGCCGCGUGUGUGAAGAAGGUCUUCGGAUUGUAAAGCACUUUAAGUUGGGAGGAAGGGCAGUAAAUUAAUACUUUGCUGUUUUGACGUUACCGACAGAAUAAGCACCGGCUAACUCUGUGCCAGCAGCCGCGGUAAUACAGAGGGUGCAAGCGUUAAUCGGAAUUACUGGGCGUAAAGCGCGCGUAGGUGGUUCGUUAAGUUGGAUGUGAAAUCCCCGGGCUCAACCUGGGAACUGCAUUCAAAACUGUCGAGCUAGAGUAUGGUAGAGGGUGGUGGAAUUUCCUGUGUAGCGGUGAAAUGCGUAGAUAUAGGAAGGAACACCAGUGGCGAAGGCGACCACCUGGACUGAUACUGACACUGAGGUGCGAAAGCGUGGGGAGCAAAC
rnacentral:rRNA from 1 species